rnacentral:tRNA from 1 species
CGGAUAGUAUAAUGGUUUAUUACAUUUGAUUGCAAAUCUUUUGAUAUCGGUUCGAAUCCGAUUCCG